CUCCCUUAGGCCGGAAGCUGAGAGGAAAAGCCUUCUAUUUUGUGAACGGCAAGGUGUUUUGUGAGGAAGAUUUCUUGUACUCUGGCUUUCAGCAGUCUGCUGACCGGUGCUUCCUGUGUGGCCAUCUGAUUUUGGACAUGAUCCUGCAGGCCCUGGGAAAGUCCUAUCACCCGGGCUGUUUCCGAUGCGUCAUCUGUAACGAGUGUUUGGAUGGAGUGCCUUUCACUGUGGACUCGGAGAACAAGAUUUACUGCGUCCGAGAUUAUCGCAAGUAAGGGGAGAAGAACGGGACUAUACACAGGCCUUAUUCGCUGAGCUCAGACCGGAGGGUAGCUAUGUUGGGCUGUGUGUUUAUAGCUACUUGUCCUAGUUUUGGCCUGCUGG